UACAUCUUGGUGUAUGAUGCACAUUAGCUUUUGAUGCUUGGUGGUGACGGUUUAAUUCUGUCUGGUGUAA
rnacentral:tRNA from 1 species